GCCUGCAGAAUAUCUCAGUCAGCAGAGCAUGGGGCUCUGAAUCCUAGGGCCGUGGGUUCAGGCCCCACGCUGGGCA